ensembl:lncRNA
GUUUGAAGAGAGGCUGUGGGUUUGAAGAGAGACUGUGGGUUUAAAGGUUUGAAGAGAGGCUGUGGGUUUAAAGGUUUGAAGAGAGGCUGUGGGUUUGAAGAGAGGCUGUGGGUUUAAAGGUGUGAAGAGAGGCUGUGGGUUUAAAGGUUUGAAGAGAGGCUGUGGGUUUAAAGGUUUGAAGAGAGGCUGUGGGUUUAAAGGUUUGAAGAGAGGCUGUGGGUUUGAAGAGAGGCUGUGGGUUUGAAGAGAGGCUGUGGGUUUAAAGGUUUGAAGAGAGGCUGUGGGUUUA